CCAGAGUAGCUGGGACUACAGGCGCCCGCCACCGCGCCCAGCUAAUUUUUUGUAUUUUUAGUAGAGACGGGAUUUCACCGUGUUAGCCAGGAUGGUCUCGACCUACUGACCUCGUAAUCCGCCCGCCUCAGCAUCCCAAAGUGCUGGGAUUACAGGCAUGAGCCACCGCUCCCGGCCCGGCAGGCCCCCUAGAAGAUGCCAAUCAAAAUAAACUGCAUUCUUGAGACACAGGGCAAGAAAUUAAAGCUAUCCACCUCCUCAAGGCCCAGGGACUACGUGGAAGAGACAUCGAGUCAUGAAUAUGGAAUGACUUCACCUGACUUCACUUGAAAUUCACUUAAUUUUCAACUCUGUUGGCUAUGAGAAAAGGACAUCCAGGCCUCACACAAAAAUGGAUCAAUGAAUUGAAACUCACCAAAUCACCACCACCAGACAACGGGAUGCUGAGUCUCAUUCAUCAUGAUUGCUUCCUGAAGCCUUCUGAGUUCCUGUUUCCCUACACAUUGUUACAUUUCUUCCCUGCAACAUAAACCCCCAAUUUUAGUCCAUCAAGGUUAUAGAUUUGAGACUGAUCUCCCAUUUCCUUGGCUGCAACACCCAAUUAUAGCCUUCUUGGCAAUAAUUGUUGUCUCAGUGAUUGGCUUUCUUUGUGGCCAGCAGCAGGACCUAGACUGAACACCUGAUUUUCUGGUAACAGUAUAAUUUUUCUUCUUUUGUCUAUUGUGGUAGGUUACAUUGUUUGAUUUUUAAAUUAAACUGGCACUGCAUAGCUAGAGUAAAUGUGACUUUGUUGUGUUAAUUUUUAUAUGUUGU
rnacentral:lncRNA from 1 species